GGGUGUAUAGCUCCAAUUGGUAGAGCGGCUGAUUCCAAAUCAGUAGGUUUAAGGUUCGAAUCCUUAUGCGCCCG
rnacentral:tRNA from 1 species